CCUGCGCACCAGCCACCCGCCUCCGCGAAGCCUCACGGGAAGCGUAGUUCGUGAGGCGGCCAGCAGCCGGGCAGUUUCCACCCAGACCCUCUCACGCUUCGAGAAACCUCAAUAAAGGCUUUGGCACAGACCUUCCCCUUGCUCAGCUUCUGCCUCCUGAGCAAACCUGGAGCUCCCCACGUGGCCCUCAUGGCGAGAGACGUUCCCCCUUCUCUUGGGAAACAGCUCACAGGCAGACAGGCACUAUCCAUCCCCCAGGAUGACUGCUAUCUGGAGAUCUCGGGGCUUCCAGAAGCUUUUCUGCAAGCUGUGUCUGGACCAAGAGGAGGAGAUGAUUACAGCCACAAACUUGGCUCCCGCGAGCAGACCCCUGUUAGUUACAGCCUUGUGCUAAGUUGCUGAAAACAGCUGUUCUUGUAUUGAUCAUAUGACUCAACAUAAAUGAUGCCCUGUGAGUACGCCUCAUGCAAACUGACUAAAAACAACACUUUCUAACAUUCAUGAGAAGGUCACAAGAAAUGCCUGCUCAGCGCCAAAUAUAUCCUGUCGAGUAGUA